rnacentral:rRNA from 1 species
AGGGAAUAGAUACCCGGGUAGUCCACGCCCUAAACGUUGUCAACUGGCUUUUCGGAGAAUCGACCCUUCGAGAGGCGAAGCUAACGCGUUAAAGUUGACCGCCUGGGUAGUACGAACGCAAGUUUAAAACUCAAAGGAAUAGACGGGGGCUCGCACAAGCGGUGGAUCAUGAGGCUUAAUUCGUCGCUAAGCGAAGAACCUUACCAGGGUUAGAAACCAUACUGCACGCCCCGUGAAAGCGGGGAAGCCUUCGAGGGUGUAUGGCAGGUGAUGCAUGGCCGUCGUCAGUUCGUGGCUUGAGUUGUUCCCUUAAGUGGGGAAACGAACGCAACCCCCGUUGCCUGUUAUAAGUGUCAGGCGAGACUGCUCCCUCACGGGAGAGGAAGGUGGGGAUGACGCCAGGUCCGCAUGUCCCUCUGAUACCCCUGGGGCUGCACUCGUGAUACAAUGGUUGGUACAACAGGACGCAAUACCGUAAGGUGGAGCAAAUCCUCUAAAGCCCAACCCC